rnacentral:rRNA from 1 species
UGAACGCUGGCGGCGUGCCUUACACAUGCAAGUCGGAUGUGUCGCAAGACACAUGGCAGACGGGUGAGUAACACGUGGGAAACUUACCUCUUAGUGGGGAAUAACGCUCCGAAAGGAGCGGUAAUACCGCAUGAGACCUAUCGCUGGGAUGCGAUAGAUGAAAGCUGGGGAUCGUAAGACCUAGCGCUGAGAGAGAGUCCUGCGUCUGAUUAGUUAGUUGGUGAGGUAACGGCUCACCAAGACUUCGAUCAGUAGCCGGCCUGAGAGGGCGAUCGGCCACACUGGAACUGAGACACGGUCCAGACUCCUACGGGAGGCAGCAGUGGGGAAUCUUGCGCAAUGGGCGAAAGCCUGACGCAGCAACGCCGCGUGGGUGAUGAAGGUCUUCGGAUUGUAAAACCCUGUCGUUAGGGACGAAGGCAUGAAUCCUAAUACGAUUCAUGUUUGACGGUACCUAGAAAGGAAGCCCCGGCUA